UACGAAGGGGGCGAGCGUUGUUCGGAUUUACUGGGCGUAAAGGGCGCGCAGGCGGCUCGUUUUGUCAGGCGUGAAAGCCCCGGGCUUAACCUGGGAGGUGCGUUUGAUACAGACGGGCUAGAGUUCGGGAGAGGAGAGUGGAAUUCCCAGUGUAGAGGUGAAAUUCGUAGAUAUUGGGAAGAACACCGGUGGCGAAGGCGGCUCUCUGGACCGAGACUGACGCUGAGGCGCGAAAGCGUGGGGAGCAAACAGG
rnacentral:rRNA from 1 species